rnacentral:lncRNA from 1 species
AAAUAAUGCUUCACAUAUUGGAUUAAAAUAUAACUACAAAAUAAAUUAAGUAAUCAAGUUAAUCGCAAAGAAGUGGAAAAAAUCUAUUUUGACUUACUGCACUUUAUAACUUUCACAUAAUACAUUAUGAUACCAAAUCAGAAUUUGAAUAUGCCAUAGUGAAAUAUACUUUCACUUACAAUUUGGAAGAUCCUCUAUGUUAAAAUGAUAUUCAUACCGAUAUUUCCAAUUGCAUUUCAAAAUACCAAUAUUUUGGUAACAGUGAAAAAUAAAUUAACGCUUCACAUAUCGGAUUAAAAUAAUACUACAAAAUAAAUUAAGUAAUCAAGUUAAUUGCAAAGGAGUGGAAAAAAAUCUAUUUGGACUAACUGCACAAUACCAAUGAUAUUAAUUGAAAACUAAAAAUUGUACUAGUGUUAAUGUUUUGUAAUUUGCAUGAUAUUUUAUAAUUAAUUUAAAUGAGGUGACAACAUCAAUCAUUACAACUUAAAAGAUAAAUGUAUAU